GAAAGUUUUCCUUCUAUGAGAGGAGAUACCUAUAGAGAAAGAGAAUGGAAAAGGGAAAAUGUGAGUACAGAGAAAUUGGCACUGAUUUCCAUCACAAAAAGAGACUCUACAAAGCUCUGGAGGAAAGUUACACCACCGCAUAGGCUGAUGUUGGGUGAGUCUCCUGUUAAAUUUAAAUAUUGCCUUGAAGUAAGACAGCAGGGACUAUUUCAGAGCACCUACUUCA
rnacentral:lncRNA from 1 species